rnacentral:rRNA from 1 species
UACAGAGGGGGCAAGCGUUAUUCGGAAUUAUUGGGCGUAAAGGGCGCGUAGGCGGCUUGGCAAGUGGAUGGUGAAAUCCCUCGGCUUAACCGAGGAACUGCCGUCCAAACUGCUUUGCUUGAGACCGGGAGAGGUGAGUGGAAUUCCCAGUGUAGCGGUGAAAUGCGUAGAUAUUGGGAGGAACACCAGUGGCGAAGGCGGCUCACUGGACCGGUACUGACGCUGAUGUGCGAAAGCGUGGG